GUGGCACAAAUGGUUAAGCACUCGGCUGCCAACUGAAAGGCUGGUGGUUCAAAUCCACCC
rnacentral:tRNA from 1 species